AGUGAACGCUGGCGGUAUGCCUAACACAUGCAAGUCGAACGGCAGCACAGUAAGAUCUUGCUCUUCCGGAUGGGGAGUGGCGGACGGGUGAGGAAUAUAUCGUAAUCUACUUUUUCGGGGAGGAUAACGUAGGUAAACCUACGCUCAUACCGCAUACGACCUACGGGUGAAAGCAGUGGAUCUUCGCACCUUGCGCGAUUGAAUGAGCCGAUGUCGGAUUAGCUAGUUGGCUGGUUAAAGGCCCACGCAGGCGAGGAUCCGUAGCUGGUCUGAGAGGAUGAUCGGCCACACUGGAACUGGGACACGGUCCAGACUACUACGGGAGGCAGCAGUGGGGAAUAUUGGGCAAUGGGCGGAAGCCUGAUCCAGCGAGAGCGAGUGGGUGAAGAAGGCCUUCGGGUUGUAAAGCCGUUUUGUUGGUAAAGAACAGCAGCAGGUUGAUACCCAGCUGUUCUGACGGUAACCAAAGAAUAAGCACCGGCUAACUUCGUG
rnacentral:rRNA from 1 species